GUGCCAGCAGCCGCGGUAAUACGAAGGGUGCAAGCGUUACUCGGAAUUACUGGGCGUAAAGCGUGCGUAGGUGGUCGUUUAAGUCCGUUGUGAAAGCCCUGGGCUCAACCUGGGAACUGCAGUGGAUACUGGGCGACUAGUGUGUGGUAGAGGGUAGCGGAAUUCCUGGUGUAGCAGUGAAAUGCGUAGAGAUCAGGAGGAACAUCCAUGGCGAAGGCAGCUACCUGGACCAACACUGACACUGAGGCACGAAAGCGUGGGGAGCAAACAGGAUUAGAUACCCUGGUAGUCCACGCCCUAAACGAUGCGAACUGGAUGUUGGGUGCAAUUUGGCACGCAGUAUCGAAGCUAACGCGUUAAGUUCGCCGCCUGGGGAGUACGGUCGCAAGACUGAAACUCAAAGGAAUUGACGGGGGCCCGCACAAGCGGUGGAGUAUGUGGUUUAAUUCGAUGCAACGCGAAGAACCUUACCUGGCCUUGACAUGUCGAGAACUUUCCAGAGAUGGAUUGGUGCC
rnacentral:rRNA from 1 species